rnacentral:rRNA from 1 species
AGCGAACGCUAGCGGCGGGCCUAACACAUGCAAGUCGAGCGCAUACCUUCGGGUAUGAGCGGCGGACGGGUGAGUAACGCGUAGGUCAUCUACCCUUUGGUGGGGGAUAACCCAGGGAAACUUGGGCUAAUACCGCACGAGGUCCACGGAUCAAAGCCUUCGGGCGCCAGAGGAUGAGCCUGCGUCGCAUUACCUAGUUGGCGGGGUAACGGCCCACCAAGGGGACGAUGCGUAGCUGGUCUGAGAGGAUGAUCAGCCACACUGGGACUGAGACACGGCCCAGACUCCUACGGAGGCAGCAGUGGGGAAUAUUGCGCAAUGGGGGGAAACCCUGACGCAGCCACGCCGCGUGGGUGAUGAAGGCCUUCGGGUUGUAAAGCCCUGUCGGAGGGACGAAUUCUUGACGGUACCUCCAAAGAAAGCACCGGCUAACUCCGUGCCAGCAGCCGCGGUAAU